rnacentral:rRNA from 1 species
UACAGAGGGCUCAAGCGUUGUUCGGAUUCAUUGGGCGUAAAGGGUGUGUAGGUGGCGCCGUAAGUCUGGUGUGAAAUUUCGGAGCUUAACUCCGAAACUGCAUUCGAUACUGCGGUGCUUGAGGACUGGAGAGGAGACUGGAAUUCAUGGUGUAGCAGUGAAAUGCGUAGAGAUCAUGAGGAAGACCAGUGGCGAAGGCGGGUCUCUGGACAGUUCCUGACACUGAGACACGAAGGCCAGGGGAGCAAACGGG